AGUGAACGCUGGCGGUAGGCCUAACACAUGCAAGUCGAACGGGAGCACAGUAAGAGCUUGCUCUUACGGGUGGCGAGUGGCGGACGGGUGAGGAAUACAUCGGAAUCUACUUUUUCGUGGGGGAUAACGUAGGGAAACUUACGCUAAUACCGCAUACGACCUACGGGUGAAAGGAGGGGAUCUUUGGACCUUGCGCGAUUGAAUGAGCCGAUGUCGGAUUAGCUAGUUGGCGGGGUAAAGGCCCACCAAGGCGACGAUCCGUAGCUGGUCUGAGAGGAUGAUCAGCCACACUGGAACUGAGACACGGUCCAGACUCCUACGGGACGCAACAGUGGGGAAUAUUAGACAAUGGGCGCAAGCCUGAUCCAGCCAUACCGCGUGGGUUAAGAACGCCUUCGGGUUGUAAAGCCCUUUUGUUGGGAAAGAAAAGCAGCAGCUUAAUACCCCGCUGUUCUGACGGUACCCAAAGAAUAAGCACCGGCUAACUUCGUG
rnacentral:rRNA from 1 species